ensembl:lncRNA
AUAAUGUACACAUGAUGUGUUGUUUGAGAUAAAAUCUUCCUAUAUAGGUCUGGCUGUCUGGGAAUUGUCUAUGUACAUCAAUUGGCCAUAAACUCACAGAGAUGCCUCCUGCUUCUAUCUCAAGAGUUCUGGGAUUAAACCAUUUUAAAAGAUUGUUGACAAAAAUUAUAUAUAUUCAUGAUAUUUAAAAUGACACUUUGAAAGUUAUAUAUUGUGAAAUGGUGAAAUCAGGCUAGUUAAGUCAAUAACCUCAUAUAUUUUGUGGUGAAACAUUUAAAAUUUUAGUGAUUUUUUCAAGUAUAUAAUAUUACUAUAGUUACUAUGUCACACAUUGGAUUAUUAUAUAUGAACAGUUGGUUUUCUUUAAAAAGUUAAUUAAUGUUUGGUGCUUAGGAUCGACCAAGGACCUAACUCAUGCUCUGUACCACUGAGCUAUUCCUCCCUCACAAUUGUGAACUUAGAUAAGUAUAAGACAACAGUGGACUAGGAGUGUAUCUCAGUGACUGAACACUUGUACAUUGAGGCCAUGAGUUUUGUUCUCAGAGUUUCAGAGAGUGGGGAUUGUGGGUAGACAAGAGAAAAUAUGGUAGUCAUUUUAUGGGUUGUAGAUUCAAAAGCAGCAUGAUUUCUGUGGUUAUAGUGGCACAGGCAAAGGCCAGCCUCUUUCAGGAUUAGCAUUCUCUCUUUUUAAAAGAAUUAUUUUUUAUUUUUUAAAUGGUUUUUUUCUGGUUUUCUGAGACAGGCUUCUCUGUGUAACAGCCCUAGCUGUCCUGGAAUUCACUUUGUAGAUCAGACAUGUCUCAACCUCACAGAGAUCAUCCUGCCAGUCUCCCCAUUCCUGGGAUAACAGUUGUAUGCUACAAUGUCCGGCUCUAUUUUUUAAUUUUUUUAAUUAGAAAAUUAUUUUACAUGUCAAUCCCAGGUCCCUCUCCCUCCCCUCCUCUCCUGCCCCCCCCAACAAACACCCUACCUAUCCCAUACCCUUUCUGCUCCCCAGGAGGUAAGGCCUUCCAUAGGGGUUCUUAAGUCUGUCAUAUUCUUUGGGAUGAGGCCUAGGCAGCCCCCUUGUGUCUAGGCUCAGGGAGUAUCCCUCCAUGUGGGAUGGGCUCCUAAAGUCCAUUCCUAUGGUAGUCAUAAGUAUUGAUUCCAAGGUCUCCUCACUGACACCCACAUUCAGGGGGUCUGGAUCAGUCCCAUGCUGGUUUCCCAGCUAUCCCUCUGGGAACCAAGAGUUUUCCCUUGUUCAGGUUAGCUGUUUCUGUGGGUUUCACCAGCCUGGUAUAGACCACUUUGCUCAUCAAUCCUCCUUCUCUGAAUCUGGAUUUCAGUUUAGUUCAAGGUUUAGCUGUGGGUGCCUGCUUCUACUCCCACCAGCUGCUGGCUGAAGUCUAUAUGAUGGCACAUGAAUUCGUCAUCAAUCUCAUUAUCAGGAGAGGGCAUUAAAGGUAGCCUCACCUCUGUUGCUUAGAUUGUUAGUUGGUGUCAUCUCUGUAGCUCUCCAGACAGUUCCCUAGUACCUGAUUUCUCUUUGCACUUAUAAUGUCUCACUCUAUUAUAUUAUCUCUUAUCUUGCUCUCUUCUGUUCUUCCCCCAACUCAAACUCCCUGUACCAUAAUGUCUUCCUCACCCCUUUUUUUCUUCCUUUCUCAUUCUCCUAGUUCCCCCUUCCUUCCCUCAUGCUCCCAAUUUGCUCAGCAGAUCUUGUCCCUUUCCAGGGGGCCAUGUAUGUCUCUCUUAGGGUCCUCCUUGUUUACCAGCUUCUCUGGCAGCCUGGGCUACAGGCUGGCAAUCCUUUACUCUAUGUCUAAAAUCCACAUAUGAAUAAGUACAUAUAAUGCCUGUCUUUUUGUGACUGGGUUACCUUGCUCAGAAUGGUUUCUUCUAGUUCCAUCCAUUAGCCUAUGAAUUUAAAGAUUUCAUUGCUAUUUUUCCCCACUGCAUAGUACUCCAUUGUGUAAAUGUUUCACAUUUUCUCUAUCUAUUUUUCAGUUGAGGGGCAUAUAGGUUGUUUCCAGGUUCUGGCUACUACAAAUAAGGCUGCUAUGAACAUAGUUGAAUACAUGUCCUCGUUGUAGAAAUGUGCUUCUUUUGGCUAUAUGCCUAAGAGAGGAAUUGCUGGAUCUUGUGGUAGACUGAUUGCUAUUUUUCCUGAGGAAUCGCCAUACAGAUUUCCAGAGUGGCUGUACGUGUUGGCACUCCCACUAGCAGUGGAGGAGUGUUCCCAUUUCUCCACAAACUCUCCAGCAUAAACUGUCAUUGGUGUUUUGAUUUUAGCCAUUAUGACAGGUGUAAGAUGGUAUCUCAGAGUUGUUUUGAUUUGUAUUUCCCUGAUGGCUAAGGAUUUUGAACACUUUCUUGUGUGUCUUUCAUCCAUUUUAGAUUUCUCUAUUGAGCAUUGUCUUAUUAAGUACUGUACCUCAGUUUUUAAACGUUUUAUUUAUUUAUUGUGUAUACAACAUUCUGCCUCCAAGUGUGCCUGCAGGCCAGAAGAGGGCACCAGAUCUAUUUACAGAUGGUUGUCAGCCAACAUGUGCUUGCUGGGAUUGAACUCAGGACCUCUGGAAGAGCAGGCAGUGCUCUUAACCUCUGAACCAUCUCUCUAGUUCCCCUGUACCCCACUUUUUAAUUGGAUUAUUUGAUGUUUUGGAGAUGAGCUUAAGUUAUUUGUAAAUUUUGGAGAUCAGCCCUAUGUCAGAUGUGCGGUUGGUGAAUAUCUUUUCCCAGUCUGUGGGCUGCCGUUUUGUCUUGUUGACAGUGACUUUUGCCUUAGAGAAGCUUCUCAGUUUCAGGAGGUCCCAUUUAUUAAUUGUGGAUCUCAGUGUCUGUGCUACUGGUAUUAUGUUCAGGAAUCUGUCUCCUGUACCAAUUUGUUCAAGGGUAUUUCCUACUUUUUCUUCUAAUAAGUUCAGUGUAGCUGUGGUCAUGUUGAGGACUUUGAGCCAUUUGGACUUAAGUUUUGUACAUGGAGAUAGACAAGGAUCAGUCUGCAGUCUUUUACAUGCCAGCAUCCAGUUAUGCCAGCACCAUUUAUUAAAGAUGCUUUCUUUAUUCCAUCGAAUAAAUUUAGCUUCUUUUAAAAAAUCUAUUGUUUGUAGGUGUGUGGGUUAAUAUUGGGCUUUUCAACUAUAUUCCAUUGGUCUACCUGUCUAUUAUUGUGCCAAUAACAAGCUGUUUUCAGGACUAUAGCUCUGUAAUAGAGGUUGAAGUCAGGGAUGGUGAUGCCUCUGGAAGUUCCUUUAUUGUACAGGGUUGUUUUGGCUAUCCUGGGUCUUUUGUUUAUCCAUAUGAAGUUAAGAAUUGCUCUUUCAAGUUCUGUGAAGGAUUGUGUUGGGAUUUUGAUGGGGAUUGUGUUGAAUCUCUAGAUUGCUUUUGGCAAGAUUCCCAUUUUUAGUGUGUUGAUCCUACCUAUCCAAGAACAUGGGAGAACUUUCCAUUUUUUGGUUUCUUCUUUAAUUUCUUUGUUUAGAGACAAAAAUUUCUUACAGUACAGAUCUUUCACUUUUUUGGUUAGCAUUACCUCAAGGAAUUUUAUAUUGUUUGUGGCAAUUGUAACUAUUUCUUCAUGAAUGGAUCCUCUGUAUACAGUAGUGCUACAGGUUUUUUUUGAGUUAAUCUUGUAUCCUGCCACGUUGCUGAAGGUGUUUAUCAGCUGUAGGAGUUCCCAGGUAGAGUUUUUCAGUUCACUUAUGUAGACUAUCAUAACAUCUGGAAACAGUGAAAGCUUGACUUCUUCCUUUCCAAUUUGUAUCUCCUUGAUCUUCUUUUGUUGUCUGAUUGCUCUAGCUAGAACUUCAAGGACAAUAUUGAAGAGAUAUGGAGAGAGUGGGCAGCUUUGUCUUGUUCCUGAUUUUGGAGGAAUAGCUUUGAGUUUCUCUCCAUUUAGUUUGAUGUUGGCUGUUGGCUUACUGUAUAUUGUUUUUAUUAUGUUCAGGUAUGUUCUUGUUAUUCCUGAUCUCUCCAGGUCAUAUAUCAUGAACAGACGUUGGUUUUGUCAAAGGCUUUUUUCAGAAUCUAGUGUGAUGAUCAUGUGGUAUUUCAUCUUCAGUUGCUUUAUAUGGUGGAUUACAUUGAUAGAUUUUUGAAUGUUGUACUAACCCUGCAUCCCAGGGAUGAAGCUUCCGUGAUCAUGGUGGAUGAUUUUUUUAAAUAUACUUGGAUUCGGUUUGCUAGUAUUUUAUUCAGUAUUUUUGCAUCUAUGUUCAUGGGGUAUAUUGUUCUGUAGUUCACUUUCUUAGUUGUGUCUUUGUGUGGCUUGGGUAACCAAGGUAAUUGUAGCCUUGUAAAAAGAGUUUGGCAAUGAACAUUCUGCUUCUAUUGUGUGAAACAAUUCAAAAAGUAUUGGUAUUAGCUCUUAUUUGAAUUUCUGGUGGAAUUCUACACUGAAGCCAUCUGUCCCUGGCCUUUUAUUGGUUGGGAGACAUUUGAUGACUUCUUCUGUUUAUUUAAAGGUUAUGGGCCUGUUUAAGUUGGCUAUCUCUUUUGAUUCAAUUUUGGGUAAGUGAUAUCUGUCCAAAAAAUUGUACAUUUCUUUUAAAUUUUUGAAUUUUGUGGAGUACAGGUUUUCAAACUAUGACCUCAAGAUUCUCUGGAUUUGCUUUAAAUUUUUGAAUUUUGUGGAGUACAGGUUUUCAAGUAUGACCUCAAGAUUCUCUGGAUUUCCUAAGUGCCCUCCUUUUCAUAUCUGAUUUUGUUAAUUAGCAUGCUCUCUCUGUCUCUCUGACUUUUGGUUAGUUUGGAUAAAGUUUUGUCCAUCUUGCUGAUUUUUCUUGAAGAACCAACUCUUUGUUACAUUGAUUCUUUCAAUUUUUUUCGUUCUUUCAACUUUAUUGAUUUCUGCCCUCAAUUUGAUUAUUUCCUGUUGUCUACUCCUCCAGGGUGAAUUUGCUUCUAUUUGUUCCAUCUGUGAUGUCAUAUCUCUGGUGUGACUAUUCUCUAGUUUCUUCAUGUGAGCUCUUAGAAUUAUGGACUUUCCUCUUAGUACUGCUUUCAAAGUGUCCCAGAAGUUUGGGAAUGUUGUGUCUUCUUUUUCGUUGAAUUCAAGAAAGUCUUUAAUUUCUUUCUUUAUUUCUUCCUUGACUCAGGAAUGGUGCAAUUGCAUGUUGUUCAAUUUCCAUGAGUUUGUAGGUUUUCUGCAAUUUGUGUUGUUUUUGAUUUCUAACUUUAAGGCAUGGUGGUCUAAUAAGACACAGGCCAUUUUCCCAACUUUUUUGUACCUGUUGAGCUUUGCUAUGUUGCUGAGUAUGUGAUGCUGAAAAGAAGAAAUAUUCUUUUGUGUUUGGAUGGAAAGUUCUAUAGAUGUCUGUUAAUCCCAAUUGGGUCAUAGCUUCUGUUAGUUCCUUUGUCUCUUUGUUAAGUUUCUGUCUGGUAGUCCUGUCCAGUGGUGUGAGUGGGGUGUUGAAGUCUCCCAGUAUAACUGUGUGAGGUCCUGUUUGUGAUUUGAGUUUUAAUAAUGUUUCUUUUAUGAAUGUUGAUGCCUUUGUAUUUGGGGCAUAGAUGUUUAGAAUUGAGACUUCUUCCUGAUGGAAUUUUCCUGUGAUGAAUAUGAAAUGCCCUUCUUCAUCUCUUUUGAUUGAUUUUAGUUUGAAGUCUAACUUGCUAGAUAAUAGGGUAGCUAGCCAAGCUCAUUUCUUGGGUCCAUUUGAUUGGAAUAUCUUAUCCCAACACUUUCCUCUGAGGUAAUGUCUGUUUUGAAGUUGAUGUGUGUUUCUUGUAUGCAGCAGAAGGAAGGAUUCUGUCUCUGUAUCCACUCUGUAAGACUGUGUCUUUUGAUAGGCGAGUUAAGACCAUUAAUAUUGAGGAAAAUUAAGGACCAUUGAGUGCUUAUUCUUGUUUGUUUUUUAUUUGGUGUUGGUAGUGGUAUUGUAGGUGGAUUUACCCUGCUUUUUUGGGGGGGUUGAUAAAGUGGGAUUAUCUAUUGCCUAUGUUUUUUGUGUGUAGUAAAUUUCCUUAGGUUGUAGUUUUCCUUCCAAUACUUUCUGUAGGGCUGGAUUAGUGGUUAUACAUUGUUUAAAUAUGGUUUUGCCAUUGAAUGUCUUAUUUUCUCCAUUUAUAGUGACUGAAAUCUUUGCUGGGUAUAGUUUUCUGGGCUGGCAUCUGUAUUCUCUUAGAGUUGGUAGAAUAUCUAUCCAGGUCCUUCUGGCUUUCUGAGUUUCCAUUCAGAAGUCCCGUCUACUUUAUAUGUUACUUGGCCUUUUUCCUUUGCUGCUAUUAAUGUUCAUUGUUUAUUCUGUAUGUUUUGUGUUUUAUUAUGUGAUGAUGGGACUUUCUUUUGUGGGGCAAAUCUGGCUCUAUUAUUUUAGUGUUAUAAGUGCAUGUAAGUAUGAGCACUGUAUGUGUGGCUGGUUCCUGAUGAAGCCAGAAGAGGGCGCCAGAUUAUUUGGAACUGGACUUGCACAGAUGGUUGUAAGCCUUAUGUGUUCAAGGUGUGUUGAACCCUUUUCCUCAAGAAGAAUAGCAGGUGCUCUUAGCUGCUGAGUCAGGUCUCUAGCCCAGUAAUUGGGAAUCUCUUAAUGAACCCUUUUUCAAAUAACUAGUAUACCUUUGCUUUUCUGUCAGUGUAUCCUGUCAUUCUCAGAUUACAGUAGGGUGGUGAGUUUCCCAGAGAGACAGUGCUUACUAAAAUAUUUGCCCUGUAGGAAAGAGGAGCCCGCAUUUUAUCAUCUUCAGAAAACAGGUGAGAGACACCUAUUAGAAUUUUUGUGAUUAUUAUUUAUUAUAGCAAAGUACUCCGUGAAAUAUUUGAUAUGGAUGGAGUGAGCAAAUGAUUUGCUGAUUUACUUAGUAAAUUAAAUUUAUCACAUGGGUGUUAGAGUGCAUACCUAUAAUCCCAGAACUCAGAUAGCUGGGCCAGAAAGAUAAAGAGUUUGAGGCUCUCUUAGCAUACACAUUAAGAUCCUGUCUAUAAAAGUAAAUUAAAGGUUUCAAAAUUUCUGAUUCCUAGGCAUCUCUUAGGAAAAUUACCUCACAGAUGAGUACCCAGAAUCUAUGUUUUUAGAAAAAGAUUUUUAAAAGUGUGUGUGGAGGGGGGGGAGGUGUUGCCUUAGAGGCCAGAACAGCAUUCCAUUAGAUCCUGAGUUACAUGUAGUUUGGAGCCACUCAAUGUGGGUGCUGGCGGCUUUGGAAAACCAGGAAGUGCUCUUAACCAUUGAACCAUCCCCCCAGCCUUGAGAAACUGUAUGGUUAAAGAAUGUUUUCAGGUGAGGUAUUCUUAUAUAAUAGAUAUAGUAGUGUCCAAUGACAGGUUUGAUAGUCACAAUGUUUAGGGUAGUUAUCAAAAAAUGUUAAAUAACACCAAAUAUACACAGAAAAGAAUCAACAAAUAUAUUGAAAGAUUUUAUAAAUGUAUCAGGAUAUAUUUUACUUACUUAAAAAUCCUUUUUAUGAAACUGACACCUUAAUUUUUUCCUCCUCAUAACAAUGAACAGUAAACUUUGCCUCAUGGAUCCCCAUGUAUAUUUCCAAGCAGGAAUCUGUGAAAAAUCUGUGAAAAUUUGAGGUACAGUGACAUAGUACUGACUCCAUCCACCUCCAGAAACUUACUUGAAGUAGGAAUAUCUUACGUGAUGCUGUUACUUCCCAAGGUGGCACUGUGAAAAAGAAUUUCUCUGUUAUGCAACUAGCUAUAGUGUACUGUAGGGAAUGCUGCAUGUUUGGUUGUGAUAAAUGGAGGACUUGUUGUUCUUGGGUUUUCUUUUGUGCCCUCAUAGUCAUCCAGAGGCUUUCAUCUCAUCCAAGCUGUUAUUCUCUAUUCCAGGCUUGCAGCUAGAAUCAAGGCUGGGAAUUCUGAAGGACUGGGGAUGGUGUGAGUUCAUGAUCUCUGCCCAUAGACAGGUGUUGUCCUCAUCUGGGCAUCCUGGGUGCAGGAUUUGUAGAGUACUUCCCUGCAGCACAAGGAUUAUCUGGCCAGAAGUGUCCAUCCAUUUUCAGCACUGAAAAAGAUUGGCAGAAGAAGGCAGGGUCUGGAUCUGGCACUGGAUUCUGGCCUGAGGAACUCCAUGAAGCAGAUCAGAGGCUUUCUGGUCUUUCUUAUUUUCCUCUUUGAAUGUGAAGAUGCUUCUGCUGGAGCUUUCCUGGGCCUGAUCACUCCUGAAGACUCUAAAGUCUGUGAAUUGUGUUGCCGUGAGAUCUUCCAAUUGGAUUAAGUCAGUGAUGGAGUUUAAGAGUUGGGGAAGGCUUGGAGCAGGAGGCAAUGUCAUGAAUUGUGAAGCACUUUAGAUGGGAGCAGUCAAUGAUCUGUCCCCAAAGACAGGUGGUGUCUUCACCUACACAUCCUGUGUGCAGGCAUUGCAGAGCUCUGGACUCUGCAGCUGACAGAUUGUCUGGCCUGGAGGUGUCAAUCCCAGGGAUGUCUCCAUUUCCACUACUUAAAAAGAGUGAAGGAAGAAGACAGUGUCUGGUGAGUGAGAUGCUCCUCUCCUUUGAGUGCCCCUACAGCAUUGGGGCAGGGUUUCCUAUAGCUCUGCUUGAGUAGCAAGUGCAUCACCUUUGUUUGGAGACUCAUAGUACUCUUCAGUGUUUUGUGGUGACCAUGUAAUGUUGUGUCCUCUCAGAUGUUUGUGUGUUCCUUUGUGUUUGUGUGGUGUGUGCAUGCAUAGUGAUCACUGGUAGGUUACAGAAUUCCCUUGGCCUGUGGUCUUCCCUCACCCUCCCCUUUGUCUUUGAAAUAGUGCCUCUCCUUUCUUUGGAAGUUUGCUCUUAGGCAGGUCAUCGUGUCUAAAGGUUCCAAAACUUACAUGUGUCUUUAUCUUGUUUCAGUCUCUGUCAUUACUACUAUGUCCCCAGAAAGCUUGGUUUUUAUAGGUGGUUAGGUUACUGCACCCAAUUCCCCACUCCUGACAGCCCACCAGUUGUAGAACCCUGACUUUUAUCCAG